AACAGGUUAAAAAGAUUUGGUCCACACAAGGGCGGUAUUAUUGCCGCCUUAUCCAAUUUUUGGUGAAAACAAUUCGUCCAGAUCAAAACAUUGUUGAACAAAAGCAUUUUCUUGAAUAACAUUUUGGGCUCAAUCAGUCCAGACAACCGCUGCUGAAAGCUCAAGAAAAGGGCUUCGAUUAGGGCUGGAGAAUAAGGGGCUUGAAGGGGUUCAAGUAAGUUUAGGAAAUCAAGAUUAGGGGCUUUGAUUUAAGGCUAAAGCUUCAACAGCGAUUCAAUUAGGGUUCUGAUUCAAGGUUGAAGCUUCAGAUUGGGUUUAAUUAGGUCUACAAUUUAAGACGGAGGUACUUUUCUCACUCACUUGUAGUCGAUUUUGUGUUUUACAUGUGUAUAUGUAUACAGAUAUGUAUGUAACUAAGUUAUUCUUUUGUUAAUUUUGUACUGUGUGGAUAUGAAUGUAUAUCCAUCUCACUGUAUGGUUUGUUGAUCUCCAGGUGGUAUGAAGUUAAAAGUUAGUAUAUUCAUUUACGUUUUGAUAUCUAACAUGAUUGGAAAACAGGGUACUAUGAUUAAGUUGAUUUCCGUAAUAUUGUGAUAAAGUUGAUUAAGGAGGUAUAAGCUACUUUAUACUUCUUCUUCUACCUUUCUCAAAAUCCCCUGAAAUAGUUUCAAAUCUGUGUUUAGUUUUUGCCCUUCUUAAUCUUCUAAUUAGAGUUAUUUGCCUGUUAGUAUAGUAAUCUGAAUUUGGUUUGUUUUGAAUAAGCCAGCUGGCUAUCCGUAGUUUCAGCUAGGAUUAGUCUUAGUAGUAGUUUCAGUUAUUUCUGAUAAGUAUGCGUAGUGUAGUAUUGUAACCAGGAAACUAGUUGCUGGUUUUUAGGAGUGAACAAUUAUCAGGUAAGCUUAUAUAUUAUGCAUGUAAUUUCAUUUCAGUUGAGAGGAAAUAAGAACAACUUCAGUUUUCCCAUAUUACGUUUUCAUUUAUUGCUUUCUGAGUGAGUUAUAUAUCAGCUCAAAUCCUUCAUUUGGUAUCAGAGCAGGUAUACAGAAUAGCCACGAUAUGGACGCGGGAAAGAGGAAAGGAGGUUCUUUUGGGCUAACCUAUCCACUGUUGACCCGGGGAAAUUAUACGGCAUGGGCAUUGAAAAUGAAGGUUUUCAUGCAGGCCCAGGGAGUGUGGACUGCAGUAGAACCAGUUGAUGCUACGGCUGUGAUCGAUGAGAAAACAGACAAGAUUGCUUUGGCAAUGAUUUACCAAGGCAUACCGGAGGAUAUGUUACUGUCAAUUGCUGUGAAACAAACAGCAAAGGAUGGCUGGGAAGCCAUUAAAGUCAUGUGCCAAGGGGAUGAUCGUGUAAAGAAGGCUAAGAUCCAGACGUUGAAAGCAGAAUUCGAGGCUCUGCGAAUGGAUGAUAACGAAGCACUGGAUGUUUUUUCCAUGAAAUUGAAUGGCCUGGUGUCUACUAUACGGGCUUUGGGUGAAGAAAUGAAAGAAUCCUAUGUUGUCAAGAAGCUACUACGGGCUGUUCCGUCGAGAUUUCUCCAAAUCACUUCCACGAUAGAACAGUUUGGGAAUUUAGAAAAAAUGUCAGUUGAAGAGGCUGUGGGCUCCUUACAAGUUCAUGAGGAGAGGAUCAAGGGUCAAAAGGAGACAGUUGGGAGCAAGUUGCUGUUGACUGCGGAGGAAUGGUCCAGGCGAGAGAAGAGUGAGGAGAACAAACUGCUACUCACUCAAGAAGAAUGGCUGAAACGAACUAACAAGGAGGUUACUGAUGGACAGACAAGUUCCAAGGGACGGGGUGGUCGUAGUUUUCAGGGCAGGUUUGAGGACAACACACGUUCUCAAGGGGCUGGUCGUGAUAGGAGUACCGUAAGAUGUUUCAACUGUAAUGUGUUGGGACAUUAUGCUGCUGAAUGCAAGAGACCACGACGAGAAAGAAACCAAAAACAGGAGGCAAAUCUGGUACAAAUAAAUGACAACGAACCUGCACUGCUGUUGUCUGAGUUAAAUGAAAACGAAAGUAAGAUGGUGCUGUUGAAUGAACAAAAUGUGAUCCCGAAGUUAGAGGUAACCGGAGAUAAAAAGAAAUUUUCUCAGUUAUGGUAUUUGGAUAAUGGAGCCAGUAAUCAUAUGACUGGGGACAAAACGAAAUUCUCACAAUUAGAUGAAGGCCUGACAGGUGAGGUGAAAUUUGGUGAUGGGUCGACAGUAUGUAUUAAAGGGAAGGGAUCAGUCUCGUUCAUGUGUAAAACUGGAGAAGAAAAAGUGUUCAGUGAUGUGUUUUAUAUCCCAACGCUCUGCAAUAACAUCAUUAGUCUCGGACAAAUGUCAGAAGAGGGUAACAAGGUAGUAUUGGAUGGAGAAUUCUUAUGGGUAUAUGGUAAUGAUGGAAGAUUGUUAAUGAAAGUUAAGAGAUCAGCAAAUCGAUUGUAUAAAAUUAUGUUGGAAGAAUCCCACAAACGAUGUUUGCUUACCAAGUCAGAAGAAAAUUCUCAAUUGUGGCACGCCCGUUUGGGACAUGUGAACUGGAAUGCAAUGAACUUUAUGAAGAAAAACGAGAUGGUUGUAGGUCUUCCAAGUUUGGUACAACCUAAAGAAGCAUGUACAGGGUGUCUUAUGGCCAAGCAAACAAGGACAGCUUUUCCCUCUCAGUCAAAUUACGUGUCCAAGAAAGCGUUGGAGUUAGUACAUGGUGACAUAUGUGGACCAAUCUCACCGCCAACACCAUCUGGAAAGAGGUAUUUUCUACUUUUGGUUGAUGAUUUUAGUCGUGUGAUGUGGGUAUAUUUUUUAUCAACUAAAGAUGAAGCAUUUGAAGCGUUUAAAAAAUUUAAAGCACUUGUAGAAAAUGGGUCUGAGAAAAAAAUUAAGGCUUUACGUACAGACAGAGGUGGUGAAUUUUGUUCUUCUCAAUUUACAAGUUUUUGUGAGGAUGCUGGUAUUCUUAGACAUUACACCGCUCCUUAUUCCCCACAACAAAAUGGUGUGGUGGAAAGGAGGAACAGGACAGUUGUAGAAAUGGCACGUAGCUUUCUAAAAGAAAAACAAGUUCCUACAGAAUUUUGGGGUGAGGCAGUAAAUCACUCGGUGUAUGUGCUUAAUAGAUUACCCACACGAACACUGUCUAGCUGCACCCCAUAUGAAAUUUGGUCCGGGUUAAAACCUGAUAUUAGUCACCUAAGGGUGUUUGGGUGUUGUGCUUAUAUGAAGGUUCCAUCUGUAUAUACUAAGAAGCUGGAUGAUCGCAGUAAGUACGUGGUAUAUUUUGGAAGAGAGCCCGGUACAAAAGCUCAUCGUGUGUUUGAUCCAGUUGAGAGAAGGGUGCAUGUUAGCAGAGACGUAGUAUUUGUGGAGUCUAAGUCAUGGGCCUGGAAUGACACAAGUGGAUAUGAUGAUAGCGGUGUUGAGAAAGCACAGGCAGAGUUUAUGGUCGAGGAGGCCCAUGAUCAGCUAACAAAUGAAGCUGAUACAGGGGAGACUAAUGAAGCUUAUACGGGGGAGACUGAUGUACCUAUUCAAUCUCCAGAUUCUCCACAGACGAGGGAAUACAACUCAAAAGCAUCAGAUGAACGCAGCACACCAAGAAGGCUCAGAUUGAUAAGUGAUAUUUAUGAGAACACAGAAGAAACUGAAUUAGAAGAAGAAUUGUUGCUCCUGGGUAUUGAGGAACCAGUCACAUAUCAACAGGCUGUUAAAGAACAUUCUUGGAGAGCUGCCAUGAAGACUGAACUAGAGGCCAUUGAGAAAAAUAACACUUGGAAACUUGUGGAGUUGCCAUCAGGUCACAAGCCGAUCGGUUUAAAAUGGGUUUAUAAAUUAAAGAAGAACACUGAGGGUGAUAUUGUCAAGUACAAGGCUCGAUUAGUUGCGAAGGGAUAUGUACAAAAACAAGGGGUGGACUUUGAAGAAGUAUUUGCACCAGUCACACGAUUGGAGACUGUAAGAUUGUUAUUGGCUUUAGCAGCGAAAAAUGAUUGGGAAGUGCACCACCUGGAUGUUAAAUCGGCGUUUUUAAAUGGUGACUUGCAAGAGGAUGUAUAUGUAAUGCAGCCAGAAGGUUUUCUGACGCCGGGAAAGGAGCAUUUGGUGUACAAGUUGGUAAAGGCUUUGUAUGGGUUACGCCAAGCCCCACGGGCCUGGUAUGCUAAAUUAAAUCAGUGUUUGGAGAAAUUGGGUUUUACUAAAUGCCCAUAUGAGCAUGCAGUAUAUACAAAGCGUGAGAAAACUGAGGUACUAAUAGUUGGUGUAUAUGUGGAUGACUUGUUAGUUACAGGGACAAAUAUAUCACUCAUAAAAAGAUUCAAGGCGGAAAUGAGUAAGGUUUUUGAUAUGAGUGAUCUGGGGAAAUUGUCCCAUUAUCUUGGGAUAGAGGUGAACCAGACAGGUGAUUUCAUUGAGCUAAAGCAGGCGUCUUAUGCAAAGAAAGUAUUGGAGAGAAGUGGUAUGGCUGAGUGCAAGCCUACAAAAUAUCCUAUGGAGCCAACUCUACAACUUCAUAAAGAUGAUAAUGGAACACCGGUAAAUCCAACUCAGUACAAGAGUGUUGUGGGAGGUUUAAGAUAUCUGGUACAUACACGACCAGAUAUAGCAUAUGCUGUCGGGCUUGUGAGUCGUUAUAUGGAGCGACCCACUGUUAUGCAUUGGAAUGCUGUGAAACGUAUCCUCCGAUAUCUGAAGGGAACUCUAGAUUAUGGUUUGGUGUACUCGAAAGGUGGCAGUAAUAAUAUGCUAUCUGGAUAUUCUGAUAGUGACUUAGGUGGACAAGUUGAUGACAGGAAGAGUACAGGGGGGAUGGCGUUUUAUCUUAACGAGAGUCUGAUUACUUGGGUGUCACAAAAACAGCGUUGCGUAGCUUUGUCAUCUUGUGAAGCUGAGUUUAUGGCAGCCACAGCAGCUGCUUGUCAGGCGAUUUGGCUGCGUAAUUUACUGGGGAAGCUCACUGGUGGAGAUAUAGGACCGGUGAUUCUGUAUAUAGAUAAUAAAUCAGCUAUAGACUUAGCUAAGAAUCCGGUGUUUCAUGGGCGUAGUAAACACAUCGACAUUCGAUAUCAUUUUAUCAGGGAGUGUGUGGAACGUGGUGAAAUUGUGGUUAAGCACAUUGGAACAGGUGAUCAGCGAGCAGACGUACUAACAAAAGCUAUGGCUACUGUGAAGUUUGAAAGACUACGCGCGUUGCUGGGAAUUAAGAAUCUGCAGAAACCAAAUUUAAAUUAAGGGGGUGUAUGUUAGUAUAGUAAUCUGAAUUUGGUUUGUUUUGAAUAAGCCAGCUGGCUAUCCGUAGUUUCAGCUAGGAUUAGUCUUAGUAGUAGUUUCAGUUAUUUCUGAUAAGUAUGCGUAGUGUAGUAUUGUAACCAGGAAACUAGUUGCUGGUUUUUAGGAGUGAACAAUUAUCAGGUAAGCUUAUAUAUUAUGCAUGUAAUUUCAUUUCAGUUGAGAGGAAAUAAGAACAACUUCAGUUUUCCCAUAUUACGUUUUCAUUUAUUGCUUUCUGAGUGAGUUAUAUAUCAGCUCAAAUCCUUCAUUGCCUACUCUAAUUUGAUCAUUUUAUUUGGUUGCAGAUUAUUUUUUAAGGAGAGCUCUAUGUUCAAAAUAAUAUGGUAAGAAAUAGCUGUCUAAUUUCUGGUACUACUGUGGAAUGUUGUCCCAUAUUUAUUUUAGUAUUUGUCAUUUGCUUGCUGACCAACUAUCAUUUUGUAUGAAUUUAGAUGGCUACCAUUGGUAUAAUUAUCUUUGUUUUAGGUUCUGUCCUUAAAUAAGUGAACCUCUAUACAAACAGAAAAGUAUAUGGGGAUUGAUAUAAAUUAUAAUCUUUAAUUUUAAUAAAAGACUAUUAGUAGAGUAGUUAAUUAGGAAUUGGCGGGAGAAAUCUAGCCCGAAAAUAAACUGUUAUUGGUCUUGAAAAGUGGUGUAAGCGGCAAAUGUGAAAACAAGGUGGUUAGGGGUGGUAGUAGACUCCAGUAAGCAGAGCAAGACAGAACAGAAUUCAAAUGCUUAAGGUGACUUGAGCAAGCUUCGUAUAGUGUAUUUGUUAAAUGCGAAGUUCAAGCACUUAGUACUGCAAGACACCAAAAAAUAAAAAUCGGGGAUUAUAGUUUAUAUGGAACGUCGUCGUCCUUUAUGAAUACACUGCAUGUUUAAUACUGUAUGCAACUCAUUCGCAAUCAGGAUCUGGCUUAAGGAAAUUUGUGUGCUCUUAAACCCGAAAGAAGAUUUUCAUCUUUGAUAUUUUAGAACUCGGGACUGCAUAUUAACCAUAAAGAAAUACAAAUACAAUUAAUCAAGUCCAUCCCCGAUUCUCAUUCCCAAACUUGUAUGUUUCAAAAAGAGUUCUGCUAUUGAGCAUAUAUUGAUUCUUCUGAUCUAUAAUAAUCUCCAACAAGCUUACUUGACUGGUUUUCCCAUCUGAUCUCAAAUGGUAGUGCGACAGGAAUUGAAGACUCGUUUAGGCUGAAGUACAAGGAUGGGAAUCUUUAUGUACCAAAUCAACUGGUAAGCAUUUUUCUUUACAGUAUUAAUUCUUACUGCAUCUGUUCUUAAUACAACAAAAUCAAUUGCAGUAAGUUACGGGAAGAGAUUGCAUAAUACAAAAACUGAAUACUGAUUAGAAAAAAUUAAUAUUACUAACUUAGAUACCUUUAGAUUAUAACUCUUAUGUUUUUGUAAAAGUAAAAGAAUUUGUAUAAUGCAAGUUGAAUACUGAUAAUUUUAAUGCUAAAACAAUUAAGGCAAAUAAGAACUGAACAAAUGGUACUACUCCAAAAUAAAAUACUAUACAGUGUAAUUAUUUCUCUCUAUCAGUUGUUAAGCCACUACAAUUGAGCAAUAUACGAAUAGCAUCUAAUCUGAAUUUUGUCAUCUAAUCAGUUGUACUUGCUAUUGUUGCUGAGGUUGUUCUUCUUGGUGGCGCAGAGUACUACAGGAUUACCAAUUGCUUACACUUCUCAAGGUAAAGGAGGUCAAGAAGACUUGCAAUGUUUGUGAUGAUCGGAUUCUUUAUGCUUGGUUAAGUGUUGGCAUUAAGUAGUAGUAGGGAUGUAUAUUGUGGAUGUUGAUUUUGGAAUGUAAGAAAAUUUUUGUAUUCAAACAGGUGCUUUUAAUUUGAUAAUUUAAAAACUAUUGCAGUGUGCUUUAUACUUAUUGUUAUAUGUUAGAAAUUGUUGCAAUUGUGCUGGACCCCACGG
rnacentral:lncRNA from 1 species